AUGACUCAACACAAUGUGACGAUUUGCAUUCCUAUCUCUUGGGAAGUUGUACUUAUCAGCACCACCAAGUACCAUGCGGUCAGCAAGAGAGCUGGGCUGAGUGUGUCACUGGAGAAUUAAAAAGGAAUUAAAAACCAAGACGGGGAUCUGGGGAGAAUGUAAAGAAGAGUUCCAUCACCACAGCAGAUGCCCCUGGAGGAGGGCUGAGCCUUUGUCAAUGCUACACCAAUAAAGGCACCUUUAGGAAAAUGACUGGAAGAAAUUCAUCAGCGAUAUCUUCCCAGCACCCAGCAUGAUGCAAAGCACAUAGUAAAUGUUGAAUAAAUGCUUGCUGUGUGAA